GUAGUUGUGGCCGAGUGGUUAAGGUGAUGGACUAGAAAUCCACUGGGGUUUUCUGGCGCAGGUUCGAUUCCUGCCAACUAAG